rnacentral:lncRNA from 1 species
CACCAGGGCGAGGGCCCUAGGGGGGAGGGCGGGCGCCCUGCCCCUGGGCCCGUUCGGCCUCCCGUUCGUUCCCGUGGCUUCUGGACUCUUCUAGAUGAUAGAAAAUUGCGCGGCACGUUAAUAUCUCUAUGUAAACCUGACGUGUGGGCCUUUCUUCCAUAUUUCCUGAUAACCCCGUGCAGAAAUAGACAAAUACCAAAGCUCGUGGAAUCCUGUUAGAUAAAACCCUAAGUCUGGGUGUUGGUUGCAUUUGGAUCCUUUUCCAUGAUUAGUUGACGGUUAAAUGUGAGCAUUAAGGACCGUCAACAAGCUCCCCCAAGCUUAACCUUUGCUCGUCCCUGAGCAAAGCUAAAAUCAGCAAGAAAACAGGGGUUACUUUUAUGCCUCUUACUACAGGGUUUUUAAGUUAUUACUAAGGUCUUAAGUGAUUGAAAAACAGAACGAUCAAGUCAAGUACUAUGUCUCAAGUUCUUCUGUCUUACCUUUGUUCUGGAGUUUUUUUGUAAGUUACCAAAAUAAAACUGAGGCUUUUGCCUUCUUCUCAAAAGAUAUAUAAGUAGAGCUUUAAAAGUUUUAGCAUACUUACUUUGCAUUUUUCUAUGUCAAUGCUCGGAGCAAGGGAGAGGAAUGUCAUACUCCUAGAUCAAGACCUUUGACCUUUUUGAAAAGUUUGUCAUCUCUUACUGGCAUAUUUCUUAUUAGAGGGACCAUUGGGCU